UGGGGAAUAUUGGACAAUGGGCGCAAGCCUGAUCCAGCCAUGCCGCGUGAGUGAUGAAGGCCUUAGGGUUGUAAAGCUCUUUCGCCGGUGAAGAUAAUGACGGUAACCGGAGAAGAAGCCCCGGCUAACUUCGUGCCAGCAGCCGCGGUAAUACGAAGGGGGCUAGCGUUGCUCGGAAUCACUGGGCGUAAAGCGCACGUAGGCGGAUCGUUAAGUCAGGGGUGAAAUCCUGGAGCUCAACUCCAGAACUGCCCUUGAUACUGGCGAUCUCGAGUUCGAGAGAGGUUGGUGGAACUCCGAGUGUAGAGGUGAAAUUCGUAGAUAUUCGGAAGAACACCAGUGGCGAAGGCGGCCAACUGGCUCGAUACUGACGCUGAGGUGCGAAAGCGUGGGGAGCAAAACAGGAUUAGAUACCCUGGUAGUCCACGCCGUAAACGAUGGAUGCUAGCCGUUGGGGGGUUUACCUCUCAGUGGCGCAGCUAACGCCUUAAGCAUCCCGCCUGGGGAGUACGGUCGCAAGAUUAAAACUUAAAGGAAUUGAC
rnacentral:rRNA from 1 species